GUAGGUGGCAAGCGUUGUCCGGAAUUAUUUGGCGUAAAGCGCGCGCAGGCGGUCCUUUAAGUCUGAUGUGAAAGCCCACGGCUCAACCGUGGAGGGUCAUUGGAAACUGGGGGACUUGAGUACAGAAGAGGAAAGCGGAAUUCCAAGUGUAGCGGUGAAAUGCGUAGAGAUUUGGAGGAACACCAGUGGCGAAGGCGGCUUUCUGGUCUGUAACUGACGCUGAGGCGCGAAAGCGUGGGGAGCAAACAGGGAUUAGAUACCCUGGUAGUCCACGCCGUAAACGAUGAGUGCUAAGUGUUAGGGGGUUUCCCGCCCCUUAGUGCUGCAGCUAACGCAUUAAGCACUCCGCCUGGGGAGUACGGCCGCAAGGCUG
rnacentral:rRNA from 1 species